rnacentral:rRNA from 1 species
AGAGUUUGAUCCUGGCUCAGGAUGAACGCUGGCGGCGUGCCUAAUACAUGCAAGUCGAGCGAACGGACGAGAAGCUUGCUUCUCUGAUGUUAGCGGCGGACGGGUGAGUAACACGUGGAUAACCUACCUAUAAGACUGGGAUAACUUCGGGAAACCGGAGCUAAUACCGGAUAAUAUUUUGAACCGCAUGGUUCAAAAGUAAAAGACGGUCUUGCUGUCACUUAUAGAUGGAUCCGCGCUGCAUUAGCUAGUUGGUAAGGUAACGGCUUACCAAGGCAACGAUGCAUAGCCGACCUGAGAGGGUGAUCGGCCACACUGGAACUGAGACACGGUCCAGACUCCUACGGGAGGCAGCAGUAGGGAAUCUUCCGCAAUGGGCGAAAGCCUGACGGAGCAACGCCGCGUGAGUGAUGAAGGUCUUCGGAUCGUAAAACUCUGUUAUUAGGGAAGAACAUAUGUGUAAGUAACUGUGCACAUCUUGACGGUACCUAAUCAGAAAGCCACGGCUAACUACGUGCCAGCAGCCGCGGUAAUACGUAGGUGGCAAGCGUUAUCCGGAAUUAUUGGGCGUAAAGCGCGCGUAGGCGGUUUUUUAAGUCUGAUGUGAAAGCCCACGGCUCAACCGUGGAGGGUCAUUGGAAACUGGAAAACUUGAGUGCAGAAGAGGAAAGUGGAAUUCCAUGUGUAGCGGUGAAAUGCGCAGAGAUAUGGAGGAACACCAGUGGCGAAGGCGACUUUCUGGUCUGUAACUGACGCUGAUGUGCGAAAGCGUGGGGAUCAAACAGGAUUAGAUACCCUGGUAGUCCACGCCGUAAACGAUGAGUGCUAAGUGUUAGGGGGUUUCCGCCCCUUAGUGCUGCAGCUAACGCAUUAAGCACUCCGCCUGGGGAGUACGACCGCAAGGUUGAAACUCAAAGGAAUUGACGGGGACCCGCACAAGCGGUGGAGCAUGUGGUUUAAUUCGAAGCAACGCGAAGAACCUUACCAAAUCUUGACAUCCUUUGACAACUCUAGAGAUAGAGCUUUCCCCUUCGGGGGACAAAGUGACAGGUGGUGCAUGGUUGUCGUCAGCUCGUGUCGUGAGAUGUUGGGUUAAGUCCCGCAACGAGCGCAACCCUUAAGCUUAGUUGCCAUCAUUAAGUUGGGCACUCUAAGUUGACUGCCGGUGACAAACCGGAGGAAGGUGGGGAUGACGUCAAAUCAUCAUGCCCCUUAUGAUUUGGGCUACACACGUGCUACAAUGGACAAUACAAAGGGCAGCGAAACCGUGAGGUCAAGCAAAUCCCAUAAAGUUGUUCUCAGUUCGGAUUGUAGUCUGCAACUCGACUACAUGAAGCUGGAA